UGCAAGCCGAGCGGUAGAUUACUUUCGGGUAAUUGAGAGCGGCGUACGGGUGCGGAACACGUGUGCAACCUGCCUUUAUCAGGGGGAUAGCCUUUCGAAAGGAAGAUUAAUACCCCAUAAUAUAUUAUUCGGCAUCGGGUGAUAUUGAAAACUACGGUGGAUAGAGAUGGGCACGCGCAAGAUUAGCUAGUUGGUGAGGUAACGGCUCACCAAGGCGACGAUCUUUAGGGGGCCUGAGAGGGUGAUCCCCCACACUGGUACUGAGACACGGACCAGACUCCUACGGGAGGCAGCAGUGAGGAAUAUUGGACAAUGGGUGAAAGCCUGAUCCAGCCAUCCCGCGUGCAGGAAGACGGCCCUAUGGGUUGUAAACUGCUUUUAUCUGGGGAUAAACCUACUUACGUGUAAGUAGCUGAAGGUACCAGAAGAAUAAGCACCGGCUAACUCCGUGCCAGCAGCCGCGGUAAUACGGAGGGUGCAAGCGUUAUCCGGAUUUAUUGGGUUUAAAGGGUCCGUAGGCGGACUGAUAAGUCAGUGGUGAAAUCCGACAGCUUAACUGUCGAACUGCCAUUGAUACUGUUAGUCUUGAGUAAGGUUGAAGUGGCUGGAAUAAGUAGUGUAGCGGUGAAAUGCAUAGAUAUUACUUAGAACACCAAUUGCGAAGGCAGGUCACUAAGUCUUAACUGACGCUGAUGGACGA
rnacentral:rRNA from 1 species